AAUUGAAACCUGAGCCCCAACCCGGUAACCAACUUGGACCACGAACCAGCCGGGUGAAUAUUUUGUGAACCGGACCCGCCCCUUUUAACACCAAUACAAAUUCAUCUUCCCUCCCAUUAUUUUAGUUCUCUAUAAAUAUCCCGCCAAUUCAAAUUGACGAUCUCUUUCUCUAUCGCUCUUCUCUCUGUUUCGUAUUUCAAAAUCCACAAUCUCCAUAGCUUCUGUAAGUUCAGCUCAAAAUCUGUAAUCUACAUUUAGAAAUUUCCUUUGAUUCAUCAUCAGUAGCUGAGAUGUGUCAAAAAUUUGAGAUCUUAUGCGGAUUGAGAAAAUUACUGUGGAUCUUACGUUCCUGAUGCCAAUAGUGGCAAUGAACAAGCAACAUAAGUGCCGCUAAUGCUAUUAGUGACAGCAAAUUCUUUCUUCUCGCAAGCAUUCUCAGUACCACAUUACCACUUUAAGCUGCUGGAUCCGUUAAAUGCCCAUGGUCCAAUCUCAGACAUCCCGGACAUUGUCACCAUUUGCUCGGGACAUGAAUAUUGACAAGUUAAAACCCGUGAGUAUUCAACUACGUUUUUCUGUUUUAAUUGGUGCAACAAGAUGUGUUAAGUAAAUAAAUACCUGUGCUAUUCAAAUUAUUU